rnacentral:rRNA from 1 species
AUUGAACGCUGGCGGCAGGCCUAACACAUGCAAGUCGAACGGUAACAGGAAGAAGCUUGCUUCUUUGCUGACGAGUGGCGGACGGGUGAGUAAUGUCUGGGAAACUGCCUGAUGGAGGGGGAUAACUACUGGAAACGGUAGCUAAUACCGCAUAACGUCGCAAGACCAAAGAGGGGGACCUUCGGGCCUCUUGCCAUCGGAUGUGCCCAGAUGGGAUUAGCUAGUAGGUGGGGUAACGGCUCACCUAGGCGACGAUCCCUAGCUGGUCUGAGAGGAUGACCAGUCACACUGGAACUGAGACACGGUCCAGACUCCUACGGGAGGCAGCAGUGGGGAAUAUUGCACAAUGGGCGCAAGCCUGAUGCAGCCAUGCCGCGUGUAUGAAGAAGGCCUUCGGGUUGUAAAGUACUUUCAGCGGGGAGGAAGGGAGUAAAGUUAAUACCUUUGCUCAUUGACGUUACCCGCAGAAGAAGCACCGGCUAACUCCGUG